rnacentral:sRNA from 1 species
UCUAUCAUAUAGUCCGUGAUCAACUAUACAUACUACGUGG